rnacentral:lncRNA from 1 species
CUGCAUUCCUGAAAGGUUUUGCUGGGAUAUUUACAGUUUCCUGCUCUUUUAACAGAAAAGUGAGCAGUUUUUCCAACAGAGGGCAGUGUUAGCUAAAACAACAAGCAUUCACUCAGUCCUGGAUUUGGACAUGUCCUCUGUGAGGCAUUGAAAGGACACAUGAAACAAUUUCUUUCUUUCAUUCCUGGUUUUGUAGCUUUGACCAUAGUUGCCAUUUUUAAAAAAUGAAAACUAUAUAAAAAUUCUCCUUAGUGUCCCUGACCUCUAAGGAAGAAAUUGAGAAAAUAAAGGCAAAGUGUAUAGAGGGAAGGUUCUAGUUAUCCUGACUGGAGUAAUACAAAAACCUGCCCCUUGCUGCCUCGCCACAUCAUCAGCCUGUUAUGUAGAUGUUUGGCUUUGAGAUAAAGGAAGGUCUAUGAGGAGCUACCACAAGGUAUAUCAAGAUAGAGAAGUAAUGAAAAGCCUGGAGAAGAGGAAGAGAUGACCUGAAGGGCAACUUCUGAGGGAACAUCACCCAGACCACCAGAAAGAAGGAACCAACCAAAGAGUCAAGAGGGCAUUGUUAGAAGACUGGCAGUUCUUGAGAAAGCCCCAAUUGGAAGGACGAUGAAGGUGAAGAUGAGGAGCAAAGUAGCACGAUGGCUAGCAAACCAAGAAACAACUCCAGAUGCUGAACACCACAACACACCAUCAGAGACAUUGGGGUGGACUCAAAAGGCAUGAGGUACUCUUAGUAAUGUCUAUUGUUGUCUUAAG